UUGAAACCUAUCUAAUCUCAGCUUUCUCUUGAAUCCUAUCUCGUGGGUUUCUCUUCGCGUUUUUCAAUUUCGAUCUUGUGUUCUUGGAUGUGGAUUAUUGUCAAGGGGAAAAUUGGAAUUGAUUCAGAUCUGUUCUCCUGGCUUUGGUUCUCUCUCUCUCUCUCUCUCUCUCGCGUUCAUAUUUGAUGUGUUGUGGGUUCGGGAGAAACUUGCAGAAAUAGGCGAUAGGUUGGAUUAUCCAUGUCUCACAAAUAAGCUGGCCCAAUAGAUAGAGCUCUUUCGAGAGACAAUGCGAUACAGGAUAAGGUGCUUGUCGAAGAAUGUGAAUAUCUUGUAAAGAGGACAAAUGAGCAAUAGUUUUUAGAAGAUACCUCUUUAGAGGAUAAUCCUGUAAAUGAUCCUGAGAUUGGACUUAAUAUAAUAAUGUCUAUUCUAGGAGCAAAGCUCGAACGUCAAUUCGUAAGUUGGGACAUCUUUUUUCGAUGUAUACAGUAUGGAGAAAGAGUUAGAAGCAAAGCGUAUUGUUCGAACGGUAGCCGAUGUAGCUCGAGUAAAGAUGGAGCAAAGGAUGCAAAAUAAGUUGAAGGUUGUUAAGCAACAAUUUUAAUUCUAAUUUGCAGUCUAAGCAUCACUCUUUGCACCAGUUAUGUGGUAAAGCUGGUUUCGUUGUACCACCAUUUACACCCUUGUCAAUAGAGAUAGGGAAAUGAUGCUAUUGUGGACGAAGAAAACAACUUCGGUGAUGAUGAGUUGCAUAUCUAAUUCUGGAGGAUGAACAGUUAUGCUUUUUAGGUGCAUAAUAAUAGUAGAUAUAAAAGAUGUUUUCUAUAUUGUUUUUAAAUUUGAA